rnacentral:misc_RNA from 1 species
GAUGAAGAACGCAGCGAAAUGCGAUAAGUAAUGUGAAUUGCAGAAUUCAGUGAAUCAUCGAAUCUUUGGACGCACAUUGCGCCCGCCAGUAUUCUGGCGGGCAUGCCUGUUCGAGCGUCAUUUCAACCCUCAAGCCCAGCUUGGUGUUGGGGAUCGGCACAGGCGCCCUCGGGCGCCCGCCGUCCCCUAAAUCUAGUGGCGGUCCCGCUGCAGCCUCCUCUGCGUAGUAGUUUUCUCCUCGCAAGGGCAGCUCGGUGGCGACCUCGCCGUAAAACCCCCAACUUCUGAAAGGUUGACCUCGAAUCAGGUAGGAAUACCCGCUGAACUUAAGCAUAUCAAUAAGCGGAGGA